rnacentral:misc_RNA from 1 species
GUUCUUAGGAUGACUGCGACGCCGUUUGUGCAUACUACCUAUCUUUUAUCUAUUUAUUACGCCGUUUUACCUCUUAUUUAUUCUAUGUAUCGUCAUCUUUUUCUAUUUCAAUAUUUCUGUCUAUCGAACGUAUGAACAGCACAGCAAACAAGCCUGUCAUGAAAAGGCAGUACAAGUAGUAGGGGAGCUUUCUGAUACAGUUCAGAAGUUCUAAACCCAUUCGAGCUGCGCGAGGCGAUAAUAUUUUCUCCUAACUUCGAGUACUUAUGUACAAAUACAUGCAUACGUCAUGUUCAUGGAUUGAGUUAGGUCAAAAAAUACUGCACUCUAUAAACUAAAAAUGAUGAAAGUAUGACAUUUAUAAAUAUAUAAAUAAAUUCACUGAAGAAAAAAAUUUUUUAUAAGAAGAUCAAUAAACAAAAGACACCAUGUCGAAAGAAAUUAAUUUACCAAAAGUCCCAAAAGAUCUGUGUUUCACAGAUCUUGAUUUCAUUCAGCCAAAUUUUAAUGUGGAUACUUUUCUACAAGAACACAGAAAAAAUUCAAAGCUGGAAACAAUGCGAGAUGAUUUGGGAAUAUAUUUGAAAUUAUUAAGGUCUGCUAUGAUCGAUUUAAUCAAUAGAGAUUAUACAGAUUUUGUUAAUUUAUCAAGUAAUCUCAUUGGUUUGGAUAAAGCUAUUAAUAAUUUGCAAACACCGUUGGGUCAAUUGAAGGAAGAAGUAAUGCAAAUACGACAGACUUUAGAUGAUGAAAUUACUGUAAUCUCAAAUAACAUGAAUGAUAGUAAAAAAAUUAGAGAGUACAAGAAAAGUAUAUUUAGUUUGCAGCAUAUUUACAACUCUUCAAAUAAAUUAUCCAAAAUCUUAUGUUUGAAUACAUUUCUUGAAAGUUCUGUUAAAAUAGACAUUUUGGAACAAGCUGCAGCAGAAUUCAGUCAAUUACAAUUUUACCUGUCUAGAUGCAAAUUGGAUACUAUCAACGACAAACAAAAAGAGUGUGAAAAACUUGAACAAUUGUACAUGAAAUAUCUCAAUGAGUUUUUCUUAGCAUGUGUGCAAGAAAAAAAUUCUACCUUUUUAAUUCGAUGUUUAAGAAUUUACAUUAUGCUUGAUAAAAUUAGUAAUGCAGAAAAUUUAAUAAGAAAUGAAGUUGUCAGUCCAUUGGUUCAUAACGCAAUUAAUAUAGAAAAUUUACAAACCAAUUUACUUGGCCUACAAAAUAUUUAUAAUAUGCUGUUGAAUAUUUUGAAUGUAGAACUCAAGCAACUUUUAGAUAUCACACUAUAUCCUGAUAGAUAUUCUGUGAAAGGUUUCAAUUUUUUGGUAAACAGUUUUUGGGUUGAUGUGGAAGAAAAGAUUGAGCAAUACAUUAAAUGUAUUUUUGCUCCUGGAGAUCCAAUAUUAUUUCAUUCGAGAUACAUAGCAACUUUGGAGUUCUUAGAAAAAUUGGAAGCAGAGUGUGUUACAACUGAAUCUUUAGCAGCAUUAAAAGCAAAUUCACAAUACAAACACUUCUUAAAAAAGUGGAAUUUGCCAGUCUAUUUUCAAAUACGAUUUCAAGAAAUAACCAGUGCAAUUGAAGCGGUAUUAACCGAACCAAUAUCACCAUCAUGUGUGAAAGGAACAUUGGAAACCCUUGCACAAAAUGAUUUUUCUCUUCAUGCAACCACUAUUACAUGGGACAAUCUACAAAAAAUUUGGUCUAAUGACAUAUAUUUGUAUCAGCUAUUCCAUCGAUUUUGGAAAUUCAGUCUUCAGAUAUGUGCCAGAUAUCAAACAUGGAUUCAAGAAGCACUUAAAGAAGUAUGGACAAUAGAAAGCGAAACAAAUAAUUUAAACAAAGCAGAACAUUCCACGAGAUUGAACUUUCUUAUUUGUUUGUACAAAGAUGUACAAAAAUUUAUAGCCAGACUUCCGUCUUGUUUAGAGAUCACCCAAUCAAAACUUAAACAGGGAACCCCAAGAGUAUUGAAAUUAUUAGAAGAUUCUCUCAACGAAACAAUAAAUAAUUUAAGAACUAUUUUGCCACAAAUCACAGAAGAAAUUGUGAAUGAACUUUUGAAACAAGGUAUAGUACAUUUAAAACAAGUCAGUGAUAUACCAAGAUUGUUUAGACGUACGAAAAGGGAUAUACCAACGAAACCAUGUGCUUAUGUGAAGAAUAGUCUUACAUUUCUCAUAAAUUUCCAUGCGGAAUAUAAAAAUGUGAUAUUAGAUGACGUUAAUCAUUGGUUGGAAUUAGCUCUUUCAUCAUUAACUGAACAUUAUUUAGCUUCUGUAACAGAUGUUUUAACUUCGGUACAAAAAACUGAAGAAAGCUUGAGGAGAUUGAAAAAAAUUCGUGACAAAUCGACCGGUUCCUUUUCUUCUGAAGUCCAGGGAAUCAGCGACGACGAAAAAAUACGCAUUCAAUUACAAGUUGACGUACAAGCUUACGCUAAUAUGGUGAAAAAUUUUAUGAAACUAUCAACUCCUUACCAUGGAAAGUUCGUUCAACUUAUUUCAGAUUACACAAAUGCAAAUUUCAACUUCAAACGUGAUUCAUGUGGAUGAAUUACUGCACGCUGUUGAAGCAAUUAUCAAAAGAUAAUGUUUUUUCUUUGUUUUUAAAUGGUCUACUCAAGCAUAAGUUAUAUGAAAUUUCUCAGAAUAAUUUCCAAAUGAUUU